CAAGUCGAGCGAGGGCUCAUUUCCCGCAAGGGAGAUGAGUUCCUAGCGGCGAACGGGUGAGUAACACGUGGGCAACCUUUCCUAUCGCGGGGGAUAACAGCGGGAAACCGCUGCUAAUACCGCAUGUAGUCACCGGUCGCAUGGCCGGUGAAAAAAGCAGCAAUGCACGAUGGGGUGGGCCCGCGGCCUAUCAGCUAGUCGGUGGGGUAACGGCCUACCGAGGCGAUGACGGGUAGCUGGUCUGAGAGGACGACCAGCCACACGGGGACUGAGACACGGCCCCGACUCCUACGGGAGGCAGCAGUGAGGAAUCUUCCGCAAUGGGCGAAAGCCUGACGGAGCGACACCGCGUGUGGGAUGAAGUCCUUCGGGAUGUAAACCACUGUUGGAGGGGAAGACAUCGACGGUACCCUCCGAGAAAGCCCCGGCUAACUACGUGCCAGCAGCCGCGGUAAUACGUAGGGGGCUAGCGUUAUCCAGAUUUACUGGGCGUAAAGCGCGUGUAGGCGGCUGGUUAGGUGUGAUGUGAAAUCCUCGGGCUCAACCCGAGAACUGCAUUGCAAACCGGCCUGGCUAGAGUGCAGGAGAGGGAAGCGGAAUUCCAGGUGUAGCGGUGAAAUGCGUAGAUAUCUGGAGGAACACCAGUGGUGAAGGCGGCUUCCUGGCCUGUAACUGACGCUGAGACGCGAAAGCGUGGGGAGCGAACCGGAUUAGAUACCCGGGUAGUCCACGCCCUAAACGUUGCGAACUAGGUGUUGGUCGGAUUGACCCGAUCAGUGCCGCAGCUAACGCAUUAAGUUCGCCGCCUGGGGACUACGGCCGCAAGGUUAAACUCAAAGGAAUAGGCGGGGGCCCGCACAAGCAGCGGA
rnacentral:rRNA from 1 species